GGGUCUAUAGCUUAUAUGGUACAAGCGCCGGUCUGAAAAGCCGGAGAUACCAGCUCGGUACUGGUUGGACCCACCA
rnacentral:tRNA from 1 species